CAGGCCUGGGGCUGGUGCCCCAGAAGGGGAGUUGAACUGUCUGAAUGAGAGUUAGCUGUGAGAAGGGAGCUGGCUGGGACUGGGAAGGAGCAGGAUUACUAGAGAGCCCUGCGAGCAGAGUCCAAGAAAGCCUAGGAUAAACAGGAGAAAACAAACAGUGGAGUCCAAAAGAGACAAGGCUCUCUAAUCUCUCAUAAAAAGGCUGUGGAAAUUUGAAAGGAAAGGAAGAUGAUGGUAUCGCCUGCACUGAGACGAUCCAGCUUGUUGAUCCCUGUGAGACCGGACUCUGAUCUGGGGCUGAAAGAGAUGCUUCUGGACUCUUACACUCCAGGCCGAAGACUGGCACCACCAACUUAUUUCAUGUGAUGUAACACUUUGAGCCAGGAGACAGCAGCAUAGGAAUUGUCAUACCAGAUAUGACCAGUGGUCCAUCCAGUCCAGUAUCCUGUCACCAACAAUGUGCAGCACCAGAUAUGCAGAAGAAACACUGCAGUAGACAAUUAUGGACUCACCUGCUCAUAAGGUUCUGGAUGCAACUCUAUGCAGAAGUAUCAAAAUACUACGAAACAAACAGUCCUUGUGGUAUUUUUAUUAUGACCGGAAGCGGGAAUUACUGGAAAUCUCCUGGAAAAAAAACUGUCCUCAUGAGAGAUCAGACCCAAAUAUCAACACUUUUUGAGGAUCACCCAUCAUUACAUGCAGGUACUUUUAAAACCGUGGCGAGAGAGAGAGACGUCUUCAUUGGGGUUUCAUAGACUGACCCUUGCUUUACUAUUUCACCUCCCAUAUGGUGGUGUAAUGAUUGUGUCUACACUGCAUGAGUUUUCACACAGCAAUGACUCAUCACCCCAAAUUGUGCUCUGGGCUCAGUGGAAAUCAUAGUAUGCAUUUUCCUGGGAUGUUCCCUUCUUUUGGUUUUCCAUAGUCCUGGUUAGGAAUGUGGAGGGAUCCCUUUUUUUCUAUCCUAAUCCCAUAAAACAUUACAGAACCUUACCAAAUUCAAUUUGAAAUAGGUUCAUAUUUUUUCCCCCAAGCAGAGGACUUUGAGUUCACAGCAUUUGAACGUUUGAAAAGAUUCAGGUUUGAAUUACUGUUGUUGUCCUAUGUUUAAAUGCCCCAUAGUUAAAUCAUAGAGUAAGUUUCAGUUUGAUGGAUGUAGCAUGACAUUCAGUCUUUCACUGGAGAUGGAACAAGUGGGGAUAGUGGAAAACAUUGUGGCUAUAUCUGUGCUGGGGGGUGGUUUCUGGCAAAAGCAGCUUAAGCAUAUAACUCACCAGUGAACAAAAGCUUAUAAAUAUUCACAGAUAUCCUGGUAGUGCAAAAACCUUUGCACAGCAGUUCAGAGACCAGAAAAGCUUGUACGAGCCACUGCUGGCCCAUAGAUGCAGGCUGAGUUCAAACCCAGGCUGAUUUUGCGUAAUUUUGAGGUGAGAGAUGAAUGUUUUACACAACACUGAUUUGAGGCCACUUUGACAAUUGGGGCUGGGCUGUAAAAUAAUUUAUACUGUAGUAUGAAUUGUGUUGGGAAACAAGGUUACUGACGACUUGAGAAAAAGAAUAUGUCUUAGAAACACUCAUGUGGUUUAUAUGGGGCCUGCUCGAUCAGAAUAUUUCGGCUCUUGGUUUAUGUUUUUGGAGAGGUGUGAUGAAGUGAAUUAAAUAUGUAGAAAUCAGACACAUCUGAGUUCCAUUUUCAGCUCUGACACUGACUCCCUCAGUGAAUUUAGAUAAAUCACUUAACCUGUUAGCCCUAAAUUCCUUACUCAUAAAGCCAGGGUACGAUUGUGCUUACCUCACAGGAUGAGGAUUAAUGAAUUCAUGUUUGUAAAGCCUGUAGAACAUGAAAAGCUUCAUGUAAGUGCUAAAUACUCUUACUGAAGUAGCACCAGUCUGUGAAGAAUCAUCUGUGUGUGAAUAAAACACUUUUUGUAAACUGACUUCAGUUCCUUGGUUAAACAGAAUCUGAGUGUAACUGGGCCCACAAAGGACUUGGAUCUGUGAUGUGUAGGACCAACAGUGUGAUGACUGACUGCUUGAGGCAAAGGACUUUAAGGGUCAGGUCUGUAAAGUUAUGUUGGUGCCUAAAGAUGCAGACAGUCACACUGUAUGAUCUUCAAAAGCACGUAGGCAACUAACUCCCAUUGAUU